AUGGAAUCUCAAGGUUGGUGGGUGACGUAUCUCUUGAAGACGAUCAAGGGUGACUGCAGUCUAGCUAUUUUCAUUUUCUUGUUUGCGUUGGUGUUUAAAAAUAGAUAGGAUCUAUGUUCAUAUUUGCCGAAUAAAGACCUUUCAAAAAUUACGAGACUGGUAAUUCUGACUACUUUAAAUCAUAAGACUUCAAGGCACAAUUAUUUUGAGAGAGGCCAGAAUUGCCAAUAUUUAGAGAAGGGAAACUGGAAACCACUUAGUUUCAGCAUGCAACACUUGGAUCAAUCUCGGAAGAACGGCAAGACGUUUAAAUGCAUCGUCAGGAGAGUAAAGACUUCCCUCGUAAUUUUCCUCGUGACAGCUUGGCAACGAAGAUUGCUUGCAUACUUAAAGAUCUAAGGAGCGGAUGAACCCCAGUGCAGGAGAGAACUUAGCGGUGGUAGCUCCUGCAUUCAUGCAUCAGCUUCGAACAAAUAUCUGCACUGGUCAAUGUAAGAUCCGUCUCAAGUCACUCAAUUCUGCAGCUUUGAAUCACAAGAUUUCUCUGCAUAUGUACAUGUUAAAAACCUUGGCCAGAAUUGUCAAGAGAAGGAAAACUAGAUGCAACUUCGCUUCAGCAUACAGCACGUAGUAAAGCAAGACGUAAGCAUAAAUUAUAAAUUGCAGAGAAAGCCGAAACAUUAAUGUAUUGAAAACUACAUAAUUCUUCAAAUAUGAGGACGUGGGUGGACGACAUAAUCCCCAACCGUAGAAGUCGACCGAUAAAUGUGUGCCACUAUUAAUAGCAUGUGACCAACAGAUCAAAAUUGGUUGUGAAACCAAAGCAACAGCAGUAAAGAAGAAUGGUCAACUGUAGAGCAGGAGAGAGCGACAGAAGCAAGCAAGCAAGCAAGCCAGUAAGCCAAAGAGCAAGCCCCCAACAACCAGAAGCCAGCCAGCUAGCUAGCUGAAGAGUAAGCCCGAGCAACCAGAAGCAAGCAAUCAACAAAGCCAGCCAGCCAGCCAAAGAGCAAGCCCGAACAACCAGAAGCAAGCCA